UCGUCUCCUUCUAUCUUUUAUAGUGCGCUACUGCCACUGUCAUCAUCUAAAAAGCUUCUUGAGUUAUAUUGGCUAUGGCGCAUCUUCCUCGCAUUUUCUUCUCAGUGGGUGAUUAGCAGUGCACGAGAUCUUCGAUUUGGGCUACGAUCAGUUCCUCUGGUUGAAGAUCUAUACAUCUACCAUGGAAAGAUUAUCAGUCUUGGCUAUCAUAUGCUGUUUUCUUCUGAUCGUGGGCGUCGUACGGUGCAAGACCGUGAAGAGAGACGGUGGCCUGGAACUUGUUAGCAGCCAUUUCUGCCUUUUCAUUGGGGGAAUUCAAUUAACAAUUAUAAUGAUAUGAAAAUGCCUCUUAAUUUUUCUUAUUUCAUUAAUCUCAUUUGUUAUAUGGGCCAACUAAAUCGUGGUUUCUUGGACUUUUUCUUCAUGGUCAUCUGCAUUCCUUUUUGUAGCAGUUUUUUUCUGAUUUGGAGACUUGAAAACAUUUACUUGUAUCACACUCGUGCUGAUGUCUGAUGAUCACAUAAUUUCUUCUAAGGCAUGCUUGUGAGCAGUCUGUAAUAUUUUAUUCUUCAUCAUAAACCCAAUGUAAUUAUUGAAAGUUUUCCUGUGACCCGAAGUCGCUGUAAUAUGGUUGUUCAUUAUACCUUUGAAAAUUUGGAGAUUGAAUUUGUACGAAAAUGUUUAUGGGAUUGCUGAUGGAAAUUCUGUCAA